rnacentral:rRNA from 1 species
UACGGGGGGGGGCAAGCGUUGUUCGGAAUUACUGGGCGUAAAGGGCUCGUAGGCGGCCAACUAAGUCAGACGUGAAAUCCCUCGGCUUAACCGGGGAACUGCGUCUGAUACUGGAUGGCUAGAGGUUGGGAGAGGGAUGCGGAAUUCCAGGUGUAGCGGUGAAAUGCGUAGAUAUCUGGAGGAACACCGGUGGCGAAGGCGGCAUCCUGGACCGACACUGACACUGAGGAGCGAAAGCCAGGGGAGCAAACGGG